rnacentral:rRNA from 1 species
UACGUAGGGUGCAAGCGUUAAUCGGAAUUACUGGGCGUAAAGCGUGCGCAGGCGGUCUUGUGAGACAGGUGUGAAAUCCCCGGGCUUAACCUGGGAACUGCAUUUGUGACUGCAAGGCUGGAGUACGGUAGAGGGGGAUGGAAUUCCGCGUGUAGCAGUGAAAUGCGUAGAUAUGCGGAGGAACACCGAUGGCGAAGGCAAUCCCCUGGACCUGUACUGACGCUCAUGCACGAAAGCGUGGGGAGCAAACAGG